CACGUCACAACGCAAGUCGUUUUCUCCGCCAUAAAUUUGUUCCGCACGUAUAAUAUUAUGUUAAAACGGAAACAUAAUUAUUGUUACCGUACCACUCUAUGCAAGUUUAUUAUUAACGAAGACGACAUUGUACCUUUUACAAACACGGGAUACGCUUUCGGGUUGUAUAAGGGCCUGGUUUUAUGUUUUAUUUACAAUCAAAGGCUCGAAAAACGCUCG